CGCAAGCCUGACGGAGCAAGACCGCGUGCGGGAUGACGGCCUAAUGGUUGUAAACCCCUUUUCUCUGGGAAGAAGACUGACGGUACCAGAGGAAUCAGCCUCGGCUAACUCCGUGCCAGCAGCCGCGGUAAUACGGAGGAGGCAAGCGUUAUCCGGAAUUAUUGGGCGUAAAGCGUCUGUAGGUGGUUAUUCAAGUCUGCUGUCAAAGCGUGGGGCUUAACUCCAUAGAGGCAGUGGAAACUGGAUGACUUGAGUGCGGUAGGGGUCGAGGGAAUUCCCAGUGUAGCGGUGAAAUGCGUAGAUAUUGGGAGGAACACCAGUGGCGAAAGCGCUCGACUGGGCCUGCACUGACACUGAGGGACGAAAGCUAGGGGAGCG
rnacentral:rRNA from 1 species